rnacentral:rRNA from 1 species
AUGCGCGACCACGAGCAGCCCCAGGACGCGAAGUGCAUGCCCGAGGGCCUCGUGCGCCAGGUGGCCGCGGCCGCCCGCGCCGCGGGCAUCGGCCUGGCCGGCGAGAACGCGCUGCCCCGGUACGACGACACGGCGCACGACCAGGUGGUGGGCACCGCCGCGGAGCGCGCCGAGGAGGACCGGAUGGUGGCCUUCACCUACCUCCGCAUGGGCCCCGAUCUGUUCCAGCCCGACAACUGGCGCCGGUUCGCGGCGUUCGUGAAGCGGAUGUCCAAGUCCGGGUCGUGCAGGGAGGCCGCCGAGCGGGAGGCGCACGGCGUCGCCCACGCCACGGGCUCUCUCGUGCACGAGGCCGCCGCCGCGCUACGGUGCUGA